AUGGAGUUAUUAGUUCAUCAAGGAGAACACGACCCUCUAGAAGGUGUUCGAGAACCCAAGAUGCACCUCCAAAUCUUGCCAUUGCCUGAAGGAGAAGGCGAUGAAACUGGAUGCACGUGUAUGCAGAGCCAGAUCAUGUGCCACCAUUGCCGAAGGGUGCUAGCCUACCCGUCAGGGGCGCCCAGCGUGUGCGGCGCCAUGUGCCGAGCCAUCACCGCCGUGCCACCCCCAGCGCCAGCCCUCUCUUGUGUCCCUGUUAUGAGAAUUGUUCCUUCAAGGAUAUGCCAGAAUGACAUAUGUGUUCAAUCUUCAAUGUGA
rnacentral:rRNA from 1 species